rnacentral:rRNA from 1 species
GACGAACGCUGGCGGCGUGCUUAACACAUGCAAGUCGGGGGGCCCUUUCGGGGGUCACCGGCGGACGGGUGCGUAACACGUGAGCGACCUGCCCUGGAGUGGGGGAUAGCCGGCCCAACGGCCGGGUAAUACCGCAUACGCCACCGGAGAGGCAUCUCUCGGGUGGGAAACCCGCAAGGGGCUCGUGGAGGGGCUCGCGGCCUAUCAGCUAGUUGGCGAGGUAACGGCUCACCAAGGCGAUGACGGGGUAGCNGGUCUGAGAGGAUGGCCAGCCACAUU